rnacentral:rRNA from 1 species
AGAAUCAUGCACAAUGGGGGAAACCCUGAUGCUGCAACGCCGCGUGGAGGAUGAAGGCCCUAGGGUCGUAAACUCCUGUCAUCAAAGAGUAUGGGGGUGAUGUGUAAUACAUGUUGCUCGUGAUAGUAUUUGAAGAGGAAGGGACGGCUAACUUCGUGCCAGCAGCCGCGGUAAUACGAAGGUCCCGAGCGUUAUUCGGAAUCACUGGGCGUAAAGAAUAUGUAGGCGGUCUGGAAAGUCAGGUGUGAAAGCCCGGGGCUCAACCCCGGAACGGCACCCGAUACUCCCGGACUAGAGUAAUGGAGGGGAGUCUGGAAUUCACGGUGUAGCAGUGAAAUGCGUGGAUAUCGUGAGGAACACUAGUGGCGAAGGCGAGACUCUGGACAUUUACUGACGCUGAGAUACGAAGGCCAGGGUAGCG